rnacentral:rRNA from 1 species
UGGGGAAUAUUGCACAAUGGGCGCAAGCCUGAUGCAGCCAUGCCGCGUGUAUGAAGAAGGCCUUCGGGUUGUAAAGUACUUUCAGCGGGGAGGAAGGCGAUAAGGUUAAUAACCUUGUCGAUUGACGUUACCCGCAGAAGAAGCACCGGCUAACUCCGUGCCAGCAGCCGCAGUAAUACGGAGGGUGCAAGCGUUAAUCGGAAUUACUGGGCGUAAAGCGCACGCAGGCGGUCUGUCAAGUCGGAUGUGAAAUCCCCGGGCUCAACCUGGGAACUGCAUUCGAAACUGGCAGGCUAGAGUCUUGUAGAGGGGGGUAGAAUUCCAGGUGUAGCGGUGAAAUGCGUAGAGAUCUGGAGGAAUACCGGUGGCGAAGGCGGCCCCCUGGACAAAGACUGACGCUCAGGUGCGAAAGCGUGGGGAGCAAACA